rnacentral:rRNA from 1 species
GACGAACGCUGGCGGCGUGCUUAACACAUGCAAGUCGAACGAUGAAGCCCAGCUUGCUGGGUGGAUUAGUGGCGAACGGGUGAGUAACACGUGAGUAACCUGCCCUGGACUCUGGGAUAACCCCGAGAAAUCGGAGCUAAUACCGGAUAGGACCUUUCCUCGCAUGAGGUUUGGUGGAAAGUUUUUCGGUUUGGGAUGGACUCGCGGCCUAUCAGCUUGUUGGUGAGGUAAUGGCUCACCAAGGCGUCGACGGGUAGCCGGCCUGAGAGGGUGACCGGCCACACUGGGACUGAGACACGGCCCAGACUCCUACGGGAGGCAGCAGCGGGGAAUAUUGCACAAUGGGCGCAAGCCUGAUGCAGCAACGCCGCGUGCGGGAUGACGGCCUUCGGGUUGUAAACCGCUUUUAGUAGGGAAGAAGCCUUCGGGUGACGGUACCUGCAGAAAAAGGACCGGCUAACUACGUGCCAGCCGCCGCAGUAACAC